CACGUAGGGCGCAAGCGUUGUCCGGAAUUACUGGGCGUAAAGGGCUCGUAGGCGGCCAACUAAGUCGGACGUGAAAUCCCUCGGCUUAACCGGGGAACUGCGUCCGAUACUGGAUGGCUUGAGGUUGGGAGAGGGAUGCGGAAUUCCAGGUGUAGCGGUGAAAUGCGUAGAUAUCUGGAGGAACACCGGUGGCGAAGGCGGCAUCCUGGACCAAUUCUGACGCUGAGUGAGCGAAAGCCAGGGGAGCAAACGGG
rnacentral:rRNA from 1 species